AAUGCAAUUAUUUUUAUAUUUUAAACAUAAACAAACAGCAUAAAAACAUGUGUGAUAACAAUUGGAUACAUUUAGAAAGUUUUGAAGAAAAUGGGCAAGCAACAAUUAGACUUGUUAAUACUGAUGGAGUUCCUGUUUUUAUAUUAUCUAAGUGGACCUUGUGGCCUUUGCUAACAUCCAUUCAUAAUUUUCCAUAUUCAUUGCAAAUUACUAAUAUUUUGUUUUUUGGUUUCUGGUCCAGUAAUUGCACCAAACGUGCAAUUAUUUUAUCUUGUUUUGUUGAUUUUUUUACUAACCUAUCCACUACUGGUAGUUUAAUGAUUGUAAUGGUUGCCAUUGGUGUUCUUCUCAAGUGGUAAGAGUUAAAAAAGAAGUCACUGUACUGUUGUAAAUAAUCUUUUAUCUGCAAUCAGUGUGCCAAGCAAUAUAAGACGGACUCGAUGAUCAUUAAGUUGUAUAAAGCAUUGGAAAGG
rnacentral:lncRNA from 1 species